rnacentral:tRNA from 1 species
GCCCCCAUAGCUCAGUGGAUAGAGCGUCAGCCUCCGGAGCUGAAGAGUGCAGUUCGAGUCUGCAUGGGGGUA